rnacentral:misc_RNA from 1 species
AUGCAUUAAAUACAAAAUUUGCCAGCAGCGCAACAGUGGCAUAAGAACCCAGCAGCAACUCAAGAGCACGGUUCGCAUUCUCAUGGCUAAUAAAAUUAUCGCUAAUUAAACCAUCUGCUUUUAGUUUGUCUACCGACAACUCUGUCCAACAUUGUAGACCCACGAAGCUCAGGGCUGUGAACGCUGCUGAAAUUGCUAAAUAGCCCACACCCAUUAGUAAUAAGAAAGCCUCUUCAGCACCCAAAUCCCAGAUCCUCAAUAAAAACUACAUUAGCAUGGUUCUACCGGGCAUUGAUCAAUAAUUUGCAUUGACAUGCCGAGAAGCAGAUAUGUCAAGUGAGCUGAAACUGAAUUGAUCUGAGAAGGAAGUCAAAAACGUACUAACAUGGCGUCGGUGGCAGUCGCAUUCUGC